CGGGGGCGGGACCAGGGCCGUGGUCUUCCGGCGUGCCCAGCAUGUAGACCUGCUCAAUGCCAGGGUCUUAGCGCGGAUGAACAUCGCCUAGUCUACGGAGGCUCUUUGCUUUCCGCACCGCGCUACGACGAGUUAGCCAGUACCUCCUUACAGUGGCUGCCUGGCUCUGCUAGACAAGCUGACUGUGAAUUAGGGAAGGCUGAAAGAAGCUGAGGAGAAGGGCAAUCUUGUAGGAGGACCAGCAGUCUCAAUUAAUAUGGACUACCGAGAUCUCUCAAACACCGAACAGGCAGCAUACACAAGCUGAUAUGAGGCCUCCAACACACAUACAGUGGAGGACUGCCAGGUCUGUGUUCAUUCAGAGAUGAUACACCUAAUCCUCAAGAGACUGGAGGCCCCAGGGAGUUUAGAGGUCAGUUGGGGUGGGGGAAGGGGACAUCCACGUGGAGACAGGAGAGUGGGGAAAAGGAAUGGGAUGUGGAACAGUCGGAGGGUGGAUGGUGGGUGGGAAUAAAAUAUGGAGUGUAAAAAAAAUUAAUUAAUUCAAAUAAAAAAUAAUAAUAUGUUUCAGCCCCAGGUUACACAUUGAAAACAAUUUAAACAGAGACAGAAGACCACAAGUCCAGCUACUUGAAUAGAUGGAAGAUUUACACUGCAAAGAUAUUGCCAGAAUCAUUUCUUAGCAAUUUCCCCACUCCCGUGUUGGCCAGUACGGAUUACAUGAGAACUGGCCGCCUAUCGCUGGAUACAGAUGCACCAAUGAGGGUUAAAAACUUUCCGAGCGAAAAGUGGAACAGAAAGAAAAGAAUCUCCUAGCAUUUCCCCAAGGGUUCACUCUCCCGCCACACACACUCUCCAAAGGAUCGCUACAGAUCCAACUCUAUGUCAGCUUCUUGGCUUUGCUGUAGAGGGAGUCCACUACUUUACUCCUGUUCUGAAUAGUUUCCAGAGCAGCUUCAUAAGUUUUAUCUACUAGGGGUUCAUCGAAAAUGAUCAGGACACCCUCCCCCUGGUCCAAAAUCCCAUGAAACUUUUUGUCAAGAAUCAUCUGUGAUAAUUUUCUCUCCACGUCGGCCUUGGAGAGUUUGAUGAGGCUAGAUAUGUGUUCAAUCUGGACUCGGGAAAAAGACUCAAUAACCCGGAUCAGAUUCUGUUCCUGUAAGUUAUUGUACAACUUGGCCAAAUGUGUGCUGAUGAUUGGGUCGUCCCGGAGCUCUGCCCUGUAGUCUGUCAGGGCCUUUUCAAAAUCUGCCAGUGAUCUGUUCUUGCUAGCUUGAGCCACACAUUUCAAUGCUUCUGUCUGCCUCCCUGCACACCGAAGUGCAAGCUUUCUGCUCACCAAAGCCUGGACAUCUUCUGGGGUGUUGAGCAUGAUUCUGCACAGCAACAUCUACUUCAGAGAUGUGAUGGCCUUGGGGCUAUCAAUGGAGUCGUAGCCUUCGAAUGCCUCAUAGAAGUAUGAGUAUGCAGUUUUCCAGUCCUUCUCCUCUGCUGCAUGAAUAAUACCUGACUGCAUGUCCAGGGUGGCCUGCAAUUUAGGGGGACAGUAGAUGGCAUUUGCUGUGGUUCGAGCAGAGGUUAAGGCAGCUCGGGCUUUCAGCAGAUUACUCAGAGCAUGGUAAGUUUUGCUUUCUAAAAGCUGUACUUCCACCAAAAGGGCUUUAUCAUCCAUCUUUUUCAACUCCCGAAGCAGCUGAGAACCCAAAUGCAAUGCUUCCUGGUACCUCUUGGUAUCAAAAUACAAAGACACCAGCCUUGCCUCCAAUGCUUGGCGUAAGAAAGUUCUUUUCUCUGAUUUGGCCCAUUCGAUGCACUCUAAACAUAGCUCGACCUCCUGCCCUGUAGCUGCUUCCAUAUCUAGAAACAGAUCAAGAAGAGACCGGACCAGACGAGCUGCUUUAGUUUACUGAUGGAAUUCAAGAAAGGUCGUACAUACUUCAGGAGUCCUCCAAGCUCAUCAGCUUGUCCAGUCUUCGCCAGGAGAGAACCCAGUUCAAGGAUGCUCUGCUCUUUGACCUGGACUGCCUCCUCAUCAUUUUCUUGAUUGUCAUGUUUCACGAUGGAGUGGAGGAUGUCGAUGGAGGCCUCCCGGUCGGUGCUAAGUAGAGACUGGACUCUCUGGAACUCCACCACCGCUGCGGCCGCCAUCUUACCACUCUCACACCGUCCCCGGCUGCCUCACACUGUCCCCAGCCGCCCUUUCUUUUUAUAAAUGACAAACAUACAGAUGAGGGAAAUGCAAACUUUCAUAAUAGCCUCAAAAAUACCUUGCAGUAAUGCUAACCAGGCAAGUCAGAGACUUAGAUAAUAAAAACUUUAAGGCAUUGAAGAGAGAAAUUGAAAUCACCAGAAGAUGGGAAGAUGUCCCGUGCUCACAGAUUAGUAGUAAAUUAAUAUUGCAAAAAAAACCAUAAUACCCAAAGCAUUCUAAAGAUUCAAUGCAAUCUCCAUUAAAAUGUCAACACAGUAUUUACAUAAAUUUAAAAAAGCAAUCUUCAACUUUAUAAGGGAACACUGAUAGCUAAACAUACUGAAUAAUAAACAAACACCCAGAUUUUUCAUUGUAUUACAGUGCUAUCAUAAUUAAAAUGACAUCAUAUUGGCAUAAAACCAGCCAUGUUGAUCAAUGGAAUGGAACAGGAAGACAUGGCCAUAACUCACACACCUACAAACAGCUGAUUUUUUUUUUAUAAAGUAGAAAACAGGUACACACUGGAGAAAAGACAGCACCUUCAACAAAUGGUGCUGGUCAGACUAGACAGAUGCAUGUAGAAGAAUCAAAGCAACCCUGCAUGUGGAGGUUUGAUCUGUUGCUAUGUACUGUAAUGCUAAAUUCUAUACACAAAAGUCUAGUUGCCUGCAAAUGAAUUCUUGGAUUUACCAGCUUUUGUUGUGCAAACCUUGUUCCUUAAUUUAAAACUAUUGAUUAAAUAAAAAUGGCUAGAGCUAAUUGCUGGAGGGAUUAGAGGUAGGUGGGAUUUGAGUUACCUGGUUUGGGGUUGGAGAGGAAGGAGAAAGGACAGACAGGGCAGCGUGAGGAGGAAGCCACCAUCAGAGGAGAUGGACCAUGAACACAUGGCCAGAAGCAGCAGCAAGCAUAGGGGGUACACUGCUGGGGGAAGUAGCCAGGCCAGCAGUUAGAUUAAGGGUUACCUCCAAGUAGUUGUCAAAGCCAAAUAAAUUAAGAUUGGUCUGAGUCUUAUUUAUUUGUAAGCUAGUUGGGGAUAAGUUUAAUUUGGUUCAAUUAUAACUGCACAAAACUAACUCCAGAUAGAUCAAGGACCCCAACAUAAGACUGGAUACCUUGAUUCUGAGCAUUGCUCAGUUGUCUGAUGACCCAUGGCCUUUGAUCAUAUGCCUAAGAACUGGAGUCUUGCACCUCUGGAUGAAGUCUUUUGAUUAUGAGAACAAAAAACAAGUAAUGAGUGAAUUGCCUCCAAAUAUUAGUUUCUACUUUUUAAAAAUUCUGAUGGGGUGGAGGGAGCAAGUGCCCCUGUGCACCUGUGGACAUCAGCCCCUGUGCACCUGUGGACAUCAGCCCCUGUGCACCUGUGGACAUCAGCCCCUGUGCACCUGUGCACAUCAGCCCCUGUGCACCUGUGGACAUCAGCCCUGUGCACCUGUGGAUAUCAGCCCCUGUGCACCUGUGGACAUCAGCCCCUAUGCACCUGUGGACAUCAGCCCCUGUGCACCUGUGGAUAUCAGCUCCUGUGCACCUGUGGAUAUCAGCUCCUGUGCACCUGUGGACAUCAGCCCUGUGCAUCUGUGGACAUCAGCCCUGUGCACCUGUGCACAUCAGCCCCUGUGUACCUGUGGACAUCAGCCCCUGUGCACCUGUGGACAUCAGCCCCUGUGUACCUGUGGACAUCAGCCCCUGUGCACCUGUGGACAUCAGCCCCUGUGCACCUGUGCACAUCAGCCCCUGUGCACCUGUGGAUAUCAGCCCCUGUGCACCUGUGGACAUCAGCCCCUAUGCACCUGUGCACAUCAGCCCCUGUGCACCUGUGGAUAUCAGCCCCUGUGCACCUGUAGACAUCAGCCCUGUGCACCUGUGGAUAUCAGCCCCUGUGCACUUGUGGACAUCAGCCCUGUGCACCUAUGGACAUCAGCCUCUGUGUACCUUAGACAUCAUCAGCCCCAGUGAACUUGUGGACAUCAGCCCCUGUGCACCUGUGGACAUCAGCCCCUGUGCACCUGUGGACAUCAGCCCCUGUGCACCUGUGCACAUCAGCCCCUGUGCACCUGUGGACAUCAGCCCUGUGCACCUGUGGAUAUCAGCCCCUGUGCACCUGUGGACAUCAGCCCCUAUGCACCUGUGCACAUCAGCCCCUGUGCACCUGUGGAUAUCAGCCCCUGUGCACCUGUAGACAUCAGCCCUGUGCACCUGUGGAUAUCAGGCCCUGUGCACUUGUGGAUAUCAGCCCUGUGCACCUAUGGACAUCAGCCCCUGUGUAGCUGUGGACAUCAGCCCCUGUGUACCUUAGACAUCAUCAGCCCCAGUGAACUUGUGGACAUCAGCCCCUGUGUACCUGUGGACAUCAGCCCCUGUGUAGCUGUGGACAUCAGCCCUGUGCACCUGUGGACAUCAGCCCCUGUGCACCUGUGGACAUCAGCCCCUGUGCACCUGUGCACAUCAGCCCCUGUGCACCUGUGGACAUCAGCCCCUGUGUACCUUAGACAUCAUCAGCCCCAGUGGACCUGUGGACAUCAGCCCCUGUGUACCUGUGGACAUCAGAUAACCACUGGCAGCAGCCAGUUCUCCCCUUCUGCUAUGUGGUUCCCAAGGACAGAACUCAAGUCAUCAAGCUUGGUGGGAAAAUGCCUUUACCAGUGAGCCAUCUACCAACCCAUAAAUGUUGGUUUUGGCGGAUUUUUUUCCUAGAUAAGUUUCCUCACAGCUUUUGCCUGGUUAGAGGGCUAUAAAUAGAAGCAGGAGUGGAUUCUAGGUAAGGAUAUAUUUUCCCAACUCCGAGCUGAGAUUCUUAUUUUAUUAUUUAUUGAUUGAUUGAUUGAUUUUGUUUUUUGAGACAGGGUAUCUCUGUGCAGCCCUGGAUGUCCUGGAACUCACUUUGUAGACCAGUUCAUUUCGAACUCAGAAAUCCGCCUGCCUCUGCCUCCCAAGUGCUGGGAUUAGAGGCAUGUGCCACCACUGCCUGGCUUAUUUUUUAUUUUAGAGUUUCUUUCUUUCUUUCUUUUUUUCUUGGAUAUUUUCUUUAUUUACAUUUCAAGUGUUUCCCCUUUGGAAACCCCUUACCCUAUUCCCCCCUCCCCAUGUCACUAUGAGGGUGCUUCCCCCCCACUCCUAUCCUCCCACCCUGGCAUUCCCCUACACUGGGGCAUUGAACACCCUCAUGCCCAAGGCCUCUCCUCCCACUGAUGUCCAACAAGGCCAUUUUCUGCCACAUAUGUGACCAGCGCCAUGGGUCAGUCACUCGGGUAUUCUUUGAUUGGUGGUCCAAUCCCUGGGAGCUCCCGGGGGUCUGACCUGUUGACACUGUUGCUCCCUCCAUGGGGCUGCAAACUCCCUCAACUCCUUCAGUCCCUUCUCCAAUUCCUCCAUCGGGGACCCCCAAGCUCAGUCCAAUGGUUGACUUCGAGCUUCCUCCUCUGUAUUUGUCAGGCUCUGGCAGAGCCUCUCAGGAGACAGCCAUAUCAGGCUUCCAUUAGCAAGCACUUCCCAGCAUCCACAAUAACAUCUGGGUUUGGUGGCUGUAUAUGGGAUGGAUGCCCAGGGGGAGCAGUCUCUGAAUGGCCUUUCCUUCAGUCUCUGCUCCCCACUUUGUCUCCAGAUUUCCUCCUGUGAGUAUUUUGUUCACCUUUCUAAAAAGCACCGAAGCAUCUACGUUUUGGUCUUCCUUCUUCUUAGGCUUCAUGUGGUCUGUGAAUUUAAUCUUGGGUAUUCUGAACUUUUGGGCUAAUAUCCACUUAUCAGUGAGUACAUACCAUGUUUGUUCCUUUGUGACUGAGUCACCUCACUCAGGAAGAUAUUCUCAAGUUUUUGCCUGAGAAUUU
rnacentral:lncRNA from 1 species